UAGGGUUUGAUCAUGGCUCAGGAUGAACGCUAGCGGUAUGCCUAACACAUGCAAGUCGUACGAGAGUUUUUAACUCAAGUGGCGGACGGGUGAGUAACACGUGAGAAUUUGCCUUUAGGAGGGGGAUAACAGAGUGAAAACGCUGCUAAUACCCCAUAUGCUUUCGAGUGAAAUGGAUUUAUUCGCCUAAAGAGAAGCUCGCGGCUGAUUAGCUUGUUGGUAAGGUAAUGGCUUACCAAGGCGACGAUCAGUAUCUGGUUUGAGAGGACGAUCAGACACACUGGAACUGAGACACGGUCCAGACUCCUACGGGAGGCAGCAGUGGGGAAUUUUCCGCAAUGGGCGAAAGCCUGACGGAGCAAUACCGCGUGAGGGAUGACUGCCUAUGGGUUGUAAACCUCUUUUCUCAGGGAGGAAAUCAAUGACGUUACCUGAGGAAUAAGCAUCGGCUAACUCCGUGCCAGCAGCCGCGGUAAUUCA
rnacentral:rRNA from 1 species